rnacentral:lncRNA from 1 species
UAGAAUAUACAAUAGCUUAUCUUACCCCCCAAUUUGGGCAACGGUAGAAUCGACGUCCUUGGCUUGUUGGCUGCUUCGAUACCCAUAUUCUACAAGAUCUUCCGCAGUCGCACACAGGAAUUUGUGUGUGAGGAGUUGAUGCAGAUCUCUCACUUAGAUGGCUCAUUAUGGCUAGAAGUGAGGCAAAUAAGAGAGAAAAAAAAGCUAGUAGAUGGAGAAGUAAGCUUGACUUGUUUUUGAGCCAUGGAUGUGUUUUUAUAAUGUUAGAAAAGAAGGUUACCGUUGAAAUGACCGUUGGAGGGUAAAUAGGAAACGAAUUUGAUAUUUUAAGGGCAAAUAAGAAAAGUAUUGGCUACAUGGAGGGCAUAAAAGAAAAGUAGGUUACGGUACGAGGGUAUAUUGGAAUGGGCAAAAUGGUAAUUUUGCAGGGAUAACGGCAACUGUUAGCACCUCACUGACGGAAUUUAACUGCAGGGGUAAAUUAGAAAGAACUUGGAACAUAAGAAGGGUAUUUUCAAUAUUAGCCUUCUAAGAGGGGUAAAUAAGAAAAUCGGGAACUUUUCAGGGGUAUAUAGGCAAUUGCCCCUUAAAUUUAUUUAGGAAAGCUUUUCUUACCGUUGCAUGUAUCAUAUCUCCCUAAAAUAGAAAAUAAACAAAUUAUGUAGUAUCUUUUAGUAAAAACAAAGCAAAUGUAUGUUCAAUUUGAAAAUGAAAGUCGUAUCUUACAUUUUGAUCAGAAAGAACUAACUCUAGGCUAUUCACCACCUCUGGACGAUAAAAUUCAGGCAUAGUAUACAGACAAAUCACUCUGACUUUGAUCUUUCAUUUGUUUUCAAGAGGAGUGAUGUCACGUAUAGAAUCAUACCCAAGUGCCAUAUCCUGAGAACAAUAAGACAUCCAAGAAAAAAAUUAAUACUUGCUUCGUAUUUAAAUAAUAAAAUAAAAAUAAUAUGUUCUAUUUUAAAGCAUCAACAUUUAAGAACUAAGAAAAUUACAGGAGUGACAGUAGAGAAAAAAAAAUUACGAAAUAAAAAUUACAGAAGGAUUGAUAGUAGGGAAGUGACAUGCAAUAUCUAUAUCUAUACUACUCAUAAAAGCGUGAGUUUUGAAUUUUUUCCUCUUUCCAAAAAUAUCUCUAUCCUUUUUUACUAAUAUUUUUAUGUCCAGUAAUUUUCAACCAAUCAUUUCAAAUAAUUAACUAAGUAAUAAUUUAUUCCCAAAUAAAGAUAAAUAUUUUCCUUCUCACGCGUAAUAUCCGCACCCGCCAAUUCUUUCGCAACGUAAUAUCCGUGAAUUUCUCAAAUAUCUCAACAUAAUUAUAGGUGACUUUGAAAUAAAAUCUACUUCAUUAUAGCUGAUUUUUAAUAAUAUAGUAAAAGAUAUUAAUUUUUUGCUAUUAGAUUUUAUCUAAUGAUUGAAAAUAAAAGUAUCUGUUACUUUUGGUGACAAUAUUACCCUCGCAUUUAUAUCAUAUUUUCUAUCUACGCGUUUCUCAAAUAUUUUCCUUCUCACGCGUAAUAUUCGCACCCACCAAUUUUUUCGCAACGUAAUAUCCGUGAAUUUCUCAAAUAUCUCAUUAAUCCACCUACCAUUUGAAUUUAAUAAUAUAGUAAAUAGAAUAGAUAUGAUGACACGUGGCAAGCAUAUAGAAAGCCACGUUAGGAAAAAUGUCUCUAUCCUUUUUUACUAAUAUUUUUAUAUCCAGUAAUUUUCAACCAAUCAUUUCAAAUAAUUAACUAAGUAAUAAUUUAUUCCCAAAUAAAGAUAAAUAUUUUUCUUCUCAUGCAUAAUAUCUGCACCGGCCAAUUUUUUUGCCACAUAAUAUCCGUGAAUUUUGAAAAUAACUCAACAUAAUUAUAGAUGAUUUUGAAAUAAAAUCUCCUUCAUUAUAGGUGAUUUUUAAUAGUAUAGUAAAAGAUAUUAAUUUUUUGCCUUUUCAAACAUUUUCCUUCUCACGCGUAAAUUAUAUUAAUUAUAUUUAAUUGGUAUAAUAAAAGUUAAUAAUAAUAUAUUAAUUUUAUUUCCUAAUUAAUAAAAAUAUAAAGUAAUAAUAGUUAUUAGUAUUGAUACCCUAAUUAUAAUUAUAGGUGACUUUGAAUUAAAAUCCCUUUCAUUAUAGAUGAUUUUUAGAAUUUUUCAAAUAACUCAACAUAAUUAUAGAUGAUUUUGAAAUAAAAUCUCCUUCAUUAUAGGUGAUUUUUAAUAGUAUAGUAAAAGAUAUUAAUUUUUUGCCUUUUCAAACAUUUUCCUUCUCACGCGUAAAUUAUAUUAAUUAUAUUUAAUUGGUAUAAUAAAAGUUAAUAAUAAUAUAUUAAUUUUAUUUCCUAAUUAAUAAAAAUAUAGAGUAAUAAUAGUUAUUAGUAUUGAUACCCUAAUUAUAAUUAUAGGUGAUUUUGAAAUAGAAUCCCCUUCAUUAUAGGUGAUUUUUAGAAUUUCUCAAAUAUCUCAACAUAAUAUCCGCACCCGCCAAUUCUUUCGCAACGUAAUAUCCGUGAAUUUCUCAAAUAUCUCAUUAAUCCUUGACACAUAGAUUUUCUAUAUAAUAAAAGAUAUUAUUUUCUUAAAAAAUUUAAUUUUAUUUUUCCUAAAGUAGAAAAUCUACAUUUGAGCUUGACACGUGACAAGCAUAUAGAAAACCACGUGUCAGCUUCUCACAUAGGGUUCAUAAAGGAUUCUACUUUAGUAUAUAGAAAUAGAUAGAUAUGUCCGUCAUGUAUAAACGCAUUACACUCUCCUAUAUUAUUCAAUGUAGGACUAUUGAAAUGUCACAUUAAAUCUUUGCUUGU